rnacentral:rRNA from 1 species
CGAUAACGAACGAGACCUUAUCCUGCUAAGUAGUCAGGCCAGCUUCGGCUGGUCGCUGGCUUCUUAGGGGGACUAUCGGCUUCAAGCCGAUGGAAGUUUGAGGCAAUAACAGGUCUGUGAUGCCCUUAGAUGUUCUGGGCUGCACGCGCGCUACACUGACAGAGCCAACGAGUCUAUACCUUGUCCGAAGGGCCUGGGUAAUCUUGUGAAACUCUGUCGUGCUGGGGAUAGAGCAUUGCAAUUAUUGCUCUUCAACGAGGAAUUCCUAGUAAGCGCAAGUCAUCAGCUUGCGUUGACUACGUCCCUGCCCUUUGUACACACCGCCCGCCGCUACUACCGAUUGAAUGGCU